CUUCCAGUAGCACCUUAGAGACCAACUAAGUUUGUUAUUGGUAUGAGCUUUUGUGUGCAUGAACGAAAGCUUUUUGUGUUUUAGACGAAAGCUCAUACCAAUAACAAACUUAGUUGGUCUCUAAGGUGCUACUGGAAG